ensembl:lncRNA NOP14-AS1 NOP14 antisense RNA 1
AUGUUGUGGCACCCAGGAACUGACUCAGUGCGAAAACAGCUUCGACUCCCUGUGAUUUCAUCUCUGACCUGACCAAUGGCUGGAUCACGCGCCCUCUUCAAUGACAUGACACGCAGCUAGAGUGUAUGAGCUUGCUGCCGGCACCUUCCGUCCUGGAUCGCAUAGCAAGGCCUCAAUGGACAGCCAGGUCGGCACAGACGCAACCCAGUCUCCUCCCACCUCCGAGAGUGCAGUGUCCUGAAUGGAGAACCCCAGCACCCAGAAGCAUCCACUGAAGGACUAAAUUCUACACAUGAAGGCAAACGUCCGUGGUUGACAGAAAUUACACUGGCCAGAAUCCCCAGUCCCCAUGAGGCUUGUCCAGACGCAGUGAACCAGUCGCAGCUGAUAACACACAGACCAUUCCCGAUCCCAGAGGUGCAUUUCAGGAUUCAUUCUAUUUCAUCAGAGACGGGGUCUUCCUGUGUUGCCCAGGCUGGUCUCGAACUCCUGGGCUGAAGCAAUCUUCCUGCCUUGGCCUCCCAGAGGGUUGGAAUUGCAGAUGUGAGGUGUGUCCUGGAACCCUGGCUGCACCCACAGAUACAGCCACUCCUGGGCCCAUGUGGAUGUAACCUUCGAGUGCCGGAAUGCCUCGUCUCCAUGGAGACCAAACUCAAGGGCCUGACUGGCCCAG